rnacentral:tRNA from 1 species
GAGGCAGUAGCUCAGCGGUUAGAGCAGGUAGUUUUGAAAUUAUCACCAAAAGGUCAAUCAAAACUUACUUCGUACACUUUUAAUGUCCGGGUCGUGGGUUCGAAUCCCAUCUGCUUCACUA